GACGAACGCUGGCGGCGUGCUUAACACAUGCAAGUCGAACGGAAAGGCCCUGCUUUUGUGGGGUGCUCGAGUGGCGAACGGGUGAGUAACACGUGAGUAACCUGCCCUUGACUUUGGGAUAACUUCAGGAAACUGGGGCUAAUACCGGAUAGGAGCUCCUGCUGCAUGGUGGGGGUUGGAAAGUUUCGGCGGUUGGGGAUGGACUCGCGGCUUAUCAGCUUGUUGGUGGGGUAGUGGCUUACCAAGGCUUUGACGGGUAGCCGGCCUGGGAGGGUGACCGGCCACAAUGGGACUGAGAUACGGCGCAGACGCCUACGGGAGGCAGCAGUGGGGAAUAUUGCACAAUGGGCGGAAGCCUGAUGCAGCAGCGCCGCGUGCGGGAUGACGGCCUUCGGGUUGUAAACCGCUUUCGCAUGUGACGAAGAGUGCGUGACGGUAAUGGGUAAAGAAGCACCGGCUAACUACGUG
rnacentral:rRNA from 1 species